GGGGGCGCCUUGGUUUCGACUGGAUGGUAGAAACGAUGGUUGCAUGUAGAGGUUGAUCGGUUGGCCUCUUAAAAAAGCCGUUCAAACAAAUUAAUUGCAGACUCUAACGAGCUCGCACUUGCUGCUUAAUUGACAGCAACGACUCCUUCCCGGACGCCUAUUAAGGGAACAGUCGACAACUAAAAUAGGCUGGCUGUGUACCGGGUGUCCGGGCUACUCAGUGAGAUUCAACAGGGCAAUCGGAAUAGCAACGCGGCUGGUGAGCUUAGCGAUUCCUAAAACCAAAAUCUCCAGCUAAACAUGUAGACGCUAUCAUGGGCAUCAUUUAGGACAGGGGUUCAACUCCCCUCGCCUCCACCA
rnacentral:tmRNA from 1 species